rnacentral:rRNA from 1 species
UGCCAGACUCCUACGGGAGGCAGCAGUGGGGAAUAUUGCACAAUGGGGGAAACCCUGAUGCAGCGACGCCGCGUGAGUGAAGAAGUAAUUCGUUAUGUAAAGCUCUCUCAGCAGGGAAGAAAAUGACGGUACCUGAGUAAGAAGCCCCGGCUAACUACGUGCCAGCAGCCGCGGUAAUACGUAGGUGGCAAGCGUUAUCCGGAUUUACUGGGUGUAAAGGGCGAGUAGGCGGGAUUGCAAGUCAGAUGUGAAAACUAUGGGCUCAACCGAUAGAGUGCAUUUGAAACUGCAGUUCUUGAGUGAUGGAGAAGCAGGCGGAAUUCCCGGUGUAGCGGUGGAAUGCGUAGAUAUCGGGAGGAACACCAGUGGCGAAGGCGGCCUGCUGGACAUUAACUGACGCUGAGGCGCGAAAGCGUGGGGAGCAAACAGGAUUAGAUACCCUUGUAA